rnacentral:rRNA from 1 species
GCUCAGAUUGAACGCUGGCGGCAGGCUUAACACAUGCAAGUCGAGCGGGGAAGGGUAGCUUGCUACCUGACCUAGCGGCGGACGGGUGAGUAAUGCUUAGGAAUCUGCCUAUUAGUGGGGGACAACAUUCCGAAAGGAAUGCUAAUACCGCAUUCGCCCUACGGGGGAAAGCAGGGGAUCUUCGGACCUUGCGCUAAUAGAUGAGCCUAAGUCAGAUUAGCUAGUUGGUGGGGUAAAGGCCUACCAAGGCGACGAUCUGUAGCGGGUCUGAGAGGAUGAUCCGCCACACUGGGACUGAGACACGGCCCAGACUCCUACGGGAGGCAGCAGUGGGGAAUAUUGGACAAUGGGCGAAAGCCUGAUCCAGCCAUGCCGCGUGUGUGAAGAAGGCCUUUUGGUUGUAAAGCACUUUAAGCGAGGAGGAGGCUACCGAGAUUAAUACUCUUGGAUAGUGGACGUUACUCGCAGAAUAAGCACCGGCUAACUCUGUGCCAGCAGCCGCGGUAAUACAGAGGGUGCGAGCGUUAAUCGGAUUUACUGGGCGUAAAGCGUGCGUAGGCGGCUUUUUAAGUCGGAUGUGAAAUCCCUGAGCUUAACUUAGGAAUUGCAUUCGAUACUGGGAAGCUAGAGUAUGGGAGAGGAUGGUAGAAUUCCAGGUGUAGCGGUGAAAUGCGUAGAGAUCUGGAGGAAUACCGAUGGCGAAGGCAGCCAUCUGGCCUAAUACUGACGCUGAGGUACGAAAGCAUGGGGAGCAAACAGGAUUAGAUACCCUGGUAGUCCAUGCCGUAAACGAUGUCUACUAGCCGUUGGGGCCUUUGAGGCUUUAGUGGCGCAGCUAACGCGAUAAGUAGACCGCUUGGGGAGUACGGUCGCAAGACUAAAACUCAAAUGAAUUGACGGGGGCCCGCACAAGCGGUGGAGC